GACGAACGCUGGCGGCGUGCUUAACACAUGCAAGUCGAACGGAAAGGCCCUGCUUUUGUGGGGUGCUCGAGUGGCGAACGGGUGAGUAACACGUGAGUAACCUGCCCUUGACUUUGGGAUAACUUCAGGAAACUGGGGCUAAUACCGUAUAGGAUCUCCUGCUGCAUGGUGGGGGUUGGAAAGUUUCGGCUGUUGGGGAUGGACUCGCGGCUUAUCAGCUUGUUGGUGGGGUAGUGGCUUACCAAGGCUUUGACGGGUAGCCGGCCUGAGAGGGUGACCGGCCACAUUGGGACUGAGAUACGGCCCAGACUCCUACGGGAGGCAGCAGUGGGGAAUAUUGCACAAUGGGCGGAAGCCUGUUGCAGCAACGCCGCGUGCGGGAUGACGGCCUUCGGGUUGUAAACCGCUUUCGCCUGUGACGAAGCGUGAGUGACGGUAAUGGGUAAAGAAGCACCGGCUAACUACGUG
rnacentral:rRNA from 1 species